rnacentral:rRNA from 1 species
GACGAACGCUGGCGGCGUGCUUAACACAUGCAAGUCGAACGGUAAGGCCCUUCGGGGUACACGAGUGGCGAACGGGUGAGUAACACGUGGGUGAUCUGCCCUGCACUUCGGGAUAAGCCUGGGAAACUGGGUCUAAUACCGGAUAGGACUCCGGACUGCAUGGUCUGGGGUGGAAAGCUUUUGCGGUGUGGGAUGGGCCCGCGGCCUAUCAGCUUGUUGGUGGGGUGAUGGCCUACCAAGGCGACGACGGGUAGCCGGCCUGAGAGGGUGACCGGCCACACUGGGACUGAGAUACGGCCCAGACUCCUACGGGAGGAAGCAGUGGGGAAUAUUGCACAAUGGGCGCAAGCCUGAUGCAGCGACGCCGCGUGAGGGAUGACGGCCUUCGGGUUGUAAACCUCUUUCAGCAUCGACGAAGCGAAAGUGACGGUAGGUGCAGAAGAAGGACCGGCCAACUACGUGCCAGCCGCCGCCGUAA